rnacentral:rRNA from 1 species
UAGGGAAUCUUCCACAAUGGACGAAAGUCUGAUGGAGCAACGCCGCGUGAGUGAAGAAGGGUUUCGGCUCGUAAAACUCUGUUGUUAAAGAAGAACAUAUCUGAGAGUAACUGUUCAGGUAUUUGACGGUAUUUAACCAGAAAGCCACGGCUAACUACGUGCCAC